GAUGAACGCUGGCGGCGUGCCUAAUAUAUGCAAGUCGAGCGAACAGACGAGGAGCUUGCUCCUCUGACGUUAGCGGCGGACGGGUGAGUAACACGUGGAUAACCUACCUAUAAGACUGGGAUAACUUCGGGAAACCGGAGCUAAUACCGGAUAAUAUAUUGAACCGCAUGGUUCAAUAGUGAAAGACGGUUUUGCUGUCACUUAUAGAUGGAUCCGCGCCGCAUUAGCUAGUUGGUAAGGUAACGGCUUACCAAGGCAACGAUGCGUAGCCGACCUGAGAGGGUGAUCGGCCACACUGGAACUGAGACACGGUCCAGACUCCUACGGGAGGCAGCAGUAGGGAAUCUUCCGCAAUGGGCGAAAGCCUGACGGAGCAACGCCGCGUGAGUGAUGAAGGUCUUCGAAUCGUAAAACUCUGUUAUUAGGGAAGAACAAAUGUGUAAGUAACUAUGCACGUCUUGACGGUACCUAAUCAGAAAGCCACGGCUAACUACGUG
rnacentral:rRNA from 1 species